UAAAAUGGCAAUUAGAGUUCUGAAAAAUGUGAGUUAAAUGAAGAAAUUUAAUCAACUAAUUUUAUAUAUGAUUGUUUAUUAAAUAUAUGUAUUAACUUUAAGUAAUUAACCUAAUACUUAUUAUGUUUUAUCAUAAUAUUUAUUAGGAUUCAUCUUAAUAAAUACCGUAUUCACUUGAUAGCAUAUUGUUUUUCAGCAAAAAACAAUUUUCAACAGAUGGCGCUACCUCAGACAAGUGAAGUGACCACGGUAUUUAUUAAAUAUUAUGAUAAAACAUAGUAAGUAUUAGGAGGUAAUCCUAAUAACUUUAUUAUGACUUUAUCAUGAUAAGUUAAUAAACUCAUAAUAACGUUCAGAGUUGGUAAAUGCACCUCACAAGUGCGCGCCCUUACAAGUUGUGUGCAACUCUUCUUGGGUGCGCGCACUCGAUUCCAUAUAAAUGUUGGGUGCGCGCACUUGGAAUUUUUUUCGUGCUUAUUUCAAUAUAAAGAAUUGAAAAAAAUGUAUUUUUUACUUAAAUCUUUCCAAUUUUUUAUUUGGUCAUCUUCAAUAUAUCAAUACAAAAUACUGUCAAAUUGUGUUUCUUAUAUAUUUUGACAGCUACAAGUAGCCGCCUGCUGGUUGUCUUUUGAACCACAUUGCUUUACAUGUAAACAGUUUUUGCAUGUGAAAAAAUUCAAAAUGGAAAAAAUUAAGUAAAAAAUACAUUUUUGACGAUUUUUUAUAUUGAAAUAAGCAAGAAAAAAAUUCCAAGUGCGCGCACCCAACAUUUAUAUGGAAUCAGGUGCGCGCACCCAAGAAGAGUUGCACACAACUUAUAAGGGCGCGCACUCGUGAGGUGCAUUUACCAACUCUGAUAACGUUAUUAGGAUCCGAUUCUAAUAACGAUAUAGAACAUAAUAAUUAUCAUCGUAAUAAAAAUUUAUUACGAUAUCGCAAAACGCAAAACUAUAGUACGCCAAGCAUCCGACAAAGUCCUGUGUAAUUAGAAGCAAAAACAUUGAACAACGAAUAAACUCUAUUUUCAAUUGAUUCAUACCUUUUGAGCAUAAUGCAUUUUGCAGCAACAAUAUCGCGGUGCCAAACAACUGUCUGUGGAGCAGCAUCAUCAUCCUGAGCAUUUAACUUUAACCUUUGACAUUAAACGCCCAUUCCGAAGUAUUUCCUAGACAUCCUGAUAAUUGUCAUUGCGAAUUCGACGCUUAAUUUUCUUCCGUCCCUUUUGCAAAGCACGUUUGCUAUCCGUUGCCACAAUUAUAUCUGGUAGAUUGUUAGAUUUUCAAUUUAAAACAUAAUGUGUUGGGUUGUGUUCACAUUAUGUUGUCAAACGAAAUAUUAUUGGAAGUGAAAGAAACAAGUGAAUCCAUUCCAUUGGAAUUCGUAAAGAAGCCAUAAGAAAACUAUAGAAAACUAUAAAUUUAUUGCCAAAAACGAUAUUCUAUGCAAACGUGUUUUGUAGUAAUCUCAUCGCUUCUUUGAUUGGAAAUCAUGCACAUAAACUCCGUUCUAUUUGACACGAAAAUGACCACCAGAAUGGGCCAAAACGGUACUAAAAACAUUAGAAAUUUGAUUGUUGGCCAGGGUCUUUUUUAUUAAACAAAAACUUUUCAAAUAAAGCUAAGAUUAUUCAAAUGAA